rnacentral:rRNA from 1 species
ACUCCUACGGGAGGCAGCAGUGGGGAAUUUUGGACAAUGGGGGCAACCCUGAUCCAGCAAUGCCGCGUGAGUGAAGAAGGCCCUCGGGUUGUAAAGCUCUUUUGUCAGGGAAGAAACGGUGAUCUCUAAUAUAGAUUGCUAAUGACGGUACCUGAAGAAUAAGCACCGGCUAACUACGUGCCAGCAGCCGCGGUAAUACGUAGGGGUGCAAGCGUUAAUCGGAAUUACUGGGCGUAAAGCGUGCGCAGGCGGUUUUGUAAGUCUGAUGUGAAAUCCCCGGGGCUCAACCUGGGAACUGCAUUGGAGACUGCAAGGCUAGAGUGUGUCAGAGGGGGUAGAAUUCCACGUGUAGCAGUGAAAUGCGUAGAGAUGUGGAGGAAUACCGAUGGCGAAGGCAGCCCCCUGGGAUAACACUGACGCUCAUGCACGAAAGCGUGGGGAGCAAACAGGAUUAGAUACCCUGGUAGCACAGAG